GACGUAGGGCGCGAGCGUUGUCCGGAUUUAUUGGGCGUAAAGAGCUCGUAGGUGGCUUGUCGCGUCGACUGUGAAAACCCGCGGCUCAACUGCGGGCCUGCAGCCGAUACGGGCAGGCUAGAGUUCGGUAGGGGAGACUGGAAUUCCUGGUGUAGCGGUGAAAUGCGCAGAUAUCAGGAGGAACACCAGUGGCGAAGGCGGUGGUCUGGGCCGGAACUGACGCUGUAGAGCGAAAGCGUGGGGAGCGAACAGG
rnacentral:rRNA from 1 species